CUUACUUGGAUAACCGUGGUAAUUCUAGAGCUAAUACAUGCUAAAAACCUCGACUUCGGAAGGGGUGUAUUUAUUAGAUAAAAAACCAAUGCCCUUCGGGGCUCCCUGGUGAUUCAUAAUAACUAAACGAAUCGCAUGGCCUUGCGCCGGCGAUGGUUCAUUCAAAUUUCUGCCCUAUCAACUUUCGAUGGUAGGAUAGUGGCCUACCAUGGUGGCAACGGGUAACGGGGAAUUAGGGUUCUAUUCCGGAGAGGGAGCCUGAGAAACGGCUACCACAUCCAAGGAAGGCAGCAGGCGCGCAAAUUACCCAAUCCCGACACGGGGAGGUAGUGACAAUAAAUACUGAUGUGGAGCUCUUUAGGGUUUCACAAUUGGAAUGAGAAAAAUCUAAACCACUUAAACGAGGAACAAUUGGAGGGCAAGUCUGGUGCCAGCAGCCGCGGUAAUUCCAGCUCCAAUAGCGUAUAUUAAAGUUGUUGCAGUUAAAAAGCUCGUAGUUGAACCUUGGGCCUGGCCGUCCGGUCCGCCUCACCGCGUGCACUGGUUCGGCCGGGCCUUUCCUCCUGGGGAACCGCAUGCCCUUCACUGGGUGUGCCGGGGAAUCAGGACUUUUACUUUGAAAAAAUUAGAGUGUUCAAAGCAGGCAUUUGCUCGAAUACAUUAGCAUGGAAUAAUAGAAUAGGACGUUGUGGUUCUAUUUUGUUGGUUUCUAGGACCGCCGUAAUGA
rnacentral:rRNA from 1 species